rnacentral:lncRNA from 1 species
AAUAAUUGAGCCCAUUUAUUUGGCCAAUUUAUUGAUACAAAAAAUAGGGAUAUUAUCUUUAUUUUAGAGAUAUUAUCAUCAAUUAGGGAUUUGAUCCUAAUCAAAAUCCCUAUUUGACUCAAUCUCUAUAUUUUGGGGAAAGAGUACCUUCUUUCUAAAUAGGAAGAUAUUCUUUGAAAAACCCUAGAUGGCUAGAACCCUAUAAAUACAUGGCUACAUUCAACACAUAAAGUAAAUAAAAAACCUAGCCCUAAAACCCCCUAAAAGCUCUCUCUCUCUCUUUCUCUCCCUUAGUCGAUGACCAC